rnacentral:misc_RNA from 1 species
CAGAGAGGUCCCAAGAACAAGGAGGAGGUUUGACAAGAUGGAACCCAAUAGGGAGUACUUCAAGACGUGUAUUUUAUUUUGGUAAAGAGCAAACAAUGCUAUUAUCAAUUCUGUUGCAUUACCACAAGUUGCAUUAAGAAGCCCUCCAACUGUUGGACCAGUAAAAAAAGCUAUUUGCUCUGUCAAAAAGCUGACACGUUCAGCCAAUGGAGUAAGUCCAAGUAAACUCAAUCCAAAAACCCAUGAUCUUCCAAAGUUUUUGUAAUGAGCAAUAAUGGCAAUAGGUAUGGCAAUGAAGAGCACAAAAAGCUUAGUUCCCAAAAUGACCUCUUGAAUAUUAGCAAGAACAUCUCUAACAAUGGCACAAGGUACUUUCCUUACAAGGGUUAGAUCAGACUUUUUCCUAAGAGACGAAGACGAUACGUUGUGAGCCGUUCGUCCAUGGCUACGACCAUGCCCAUGUCUCAUCUCUUUGCUUAAAGGCUUAAUAUUUCCAUUUUCUAAGAGCCAUGUUUCUGCUGCUGGUGAUGAUGAAGCCAUUCUUUUGUUUUGUCUUUUUCUUUGGAAAAUAACUUAUUUUGGUUUUAUAUUGAG